CCUCUGGUGGCUCAGUUGCUAGAGCGCUGGCCAUAGUUGUACGCAAAGUAGAAAUCCAUAGGUCGCUGGUUCAAUUCCGGUUCAAAGGA